AUUGAACGCUGGCGGCAGGCCUAACACAUGCAAGUCGAGCGGAUGAAGGGAGCUUGCUCCUGGAUUCAGCGGCGGACGGGUGAGUAAUGCCUAGGAAUCUGCCUGGUAGUGGGGGAUGACGUCCGGAAACGGGCGCUAAUACCGCAUACGUCCUGAGGGAGAAGGUGGGGGAUCUUCGGACCUCACGCUAUCAGAUGAGCCUAGGUCGGAUUAGCUAGUUGGUGGGGUAAAGGCCUACCAAGGCGACGAUCCGUAACUGGUCUGAGAGGAUGAUCAGUCACACUGGAACUGAGACACAGUCCAGACUCCUACGGGAGGCAGCAGUGGGGAAUAUUGGACAAUGGGCGAAAGCCUGAUCCAGCCAUGCCGCGUGUGUGAAGAAGGUCUUCGGAUUGUAAAGCACUUUAAGUUGGGAGGAAGGGCAGUAAGUUAAUACCUUGCUGUUUUGACGUUACCAACAGAAUAAGCACCGGCUAACUUCGUG
rnacentral:rRNA from 1 species